UCCUCCUUACAGAGGCAGUUUGUUUCGAGUUCCCGGCAUGACCCGCUGGUAACAAAACAUGAGGGUUGCGCUCGUUGCGGGACUUAACCCAACAUUUCACAACACGAGCUGACGACAGCCAUGCACCACCUGUGCUACACCCUCGAAGGCGACUGCUUUUCGGCAGCUUGCAGUAGCAUGUCAAGCCCUGGUAAGGUGGGGAUGACGUUGAACGGUUGGUU
rnacentral:misc_RNA from 1 species